rnacentral:rRNA from 1 species
GAUGAACGCUAGCGGCAGGCCUAACACAUGCAAGUCGAGGGGUAGAGUUCUUCGGGACUUGAGACCGGCGCACGGGUGCGUAACGCGUAUGCAAUCUACCUUAUACAGGGGAAUAGCCCAGAGAAAUUUGGAUUAAUGCCCCAUAGUGUUAUCGAAUCGCAUGGUUUGAUAACUAAAGUUCCAACGGUAUAAGAUGAGCAUGCGUCCCAUUAGUUAGUUGGUAAGGUAACGGCUUACCAAGACAAUGAUGGGUAGGGGUCCGUGAGAGGGAGAUCCCCACACUGGUACUGAGACACGGACCAGACUCCUACGGGAGGCAGCAGUGGGGAAUUUGGUACAAUGGGCGGCAAGCCUGAUCCAGCAAUAGCCGCGUGCAGGAUGAAGGCC